rnacentral:rRNA from 1 species
UACGGGGGGAGCAAACGUUGUUCGGAAUUACUGGGCGUAAAGGGCUCGUAGGCGGCCAACUAAGUCAUACGUGAAAUCCCUCGGCUUAACCGGGGAACUGCGUCUGAUACUGGAUGGCUUGAGUUCGGGAGAGGGAUGCGGAAUUCCAGGUGUAGCGGUGAAAUGCGUAGAUAUCUGGAGGAACACCGGUGGCGAAGGCGGCAUCCUGGACCGAUACUGACGCUGAGGAGCGAAAGCCAGGGGAGCAAACGGG